rnacentral:rRNA from 1 species
UACGGAGGGGGCAAGCGUUGUUCGGAAUUACUGGGCGUAAAGGGCGCGCAGGCGGCUUCGCAAGUCAGACGUGAAAUCCCCGGGCUUAACUUGGGAAUGGCGUUUGAAACUACGGAGCUGGAGUGUGGCAGAGGGAGGUAGAAUUCCACGUGUAGCGGUGAAAUGCGUAGAUAUGUGGAGGAAUACCGAUGGCGAAGGCAGCCUCCUGGGCCAACACUGACGCUCAUGCACGAAAGCGUGGGGAGCAAACAGG